CGCGGGGUGGAGCAGUGGUAGCUCGUCGGGCUCAUAACCCGGAGGUCGCAGGUUCAAAUCCUGUCCCCGCAA
rnacentral:tRNA from 1 species